CUCAUAUAAUCGAAAGCCAUCAACGACUAAAGUGGUCGAAAAGGAUGACAAGUAUCAACAAAUUUUAGAAAAACUACAUUGUCUAGAGACCACUGUUAAGCAGUCUAUGAAUGAUGUCACUCGAAGCUACACGUCGUACUCUGAAACCCAAUCGGAAGAAGUGAAUUAUUUGGGCAAUAGGGGUGGAAAUCCCUAUUUAAACACUUACAAUCCCAAUUGGAAAGACCACCCGAAUCUAAAGUAGGGAGGCAACCACGAUAGCGGAAACCCAACUCUAAACUGAUAAAAUCCUCCAUAUUAAACCCAGCUCAAAACCGAUAAAAUCCUUCAUAUCAACCCCUACAUAUGCAAAGGUCUCAAGAGAGAUCCAUGAGUAACGACCAUGUUUGUUGUGGUCAACGAUUGGACUGGAUUGGAAGUGAGAGGCAACUUAUGAGAUCCGAGGUGUUUGCUAUUCGAGAGUGAAAUGGAGCAAGUUAGAGAGGAGGUCGCAGCCAUGUAUCUUCCUUGGGUAUAGCAACAAUAGGAAGGGCUAUAAAAUUUAUGAUCCUUUGUCCAAGAAAAUUUUGGUGAGCAAGGAUGCUGUGUUCGAUGAAGGUAGAACAUGGAACUGGGACGCUAUUGAAGCUAAACAAAGAAUAUGCGAAUUGGGUUGGCAAAAUCAUGAUGAUGAUGGUGAGCUGGGAUCGUAGUUUGGCGAUAAGCUAACUAAAGCAGACUUCGAUGACACUCUAGUAAGAGGCACACGAUCCAUUAAUGAGAUCUAUCAACGAGCUGACGUACCAUUACUAGAACCUACAAGCUUUGUAGAGGUUCACCAUUCUGUUUCUUUUUAUUUUGUUUAAUAAAUUCUUCUUUUUUGUUUUC